UACGUAGGGACCAAGCGUUGUUCGGAUUUACUGGGCGUAAAGGGUGCGUAGGCGGCGUGUUAAGUCACUUGUGAAAUCUCUGAGCUUAACUCAGAACGGUCAAGUGAUACUGAUGUGCUAGAGUGCAGAAGGGGCAACCGGAAUUCUUGGUGUAGCGGUGAAAUGCGUAGAUAUCAAGAGGAACACCUGAGGUGAAGACGGGUUGCUGGGCUGACACUGACGCUGAGGCGCGAAAGCUAGGGUAGCAAACGGG
rnacentral:rRNA from 1 species